UCUGAUGGAGCACGCCGCGUGAGUGAAGAAGGUUUUCGGAUCGUAAAGCUCUGUUGUUGGUGAAGAAGGAUAGAGGUAGUAACUGGCCUUUAUUUGACGGUAAUCAACCAGAAAGUCACGGCUAACUACGUGCCAGCAGCCGC
rnacentral:rRNA from 1 species